UACAGAGACUGCAAGCGUUAUUCGGAUUUACUGGGCGUAAAGGGCGCGCAGGCGGCUCAUUUUGUCAGGCGUGAAAGCCCCGGGCUUAACCUGGGAGGUGCGUUUGAUACGGAUGGGCUAGAGUUCGGGAGAGGAGAGUGGAAUUCCCAGUGUAGAGGUGAAAUUCGUAGAUAUUGGGAAGAACACCGGUGGCGAAGGCGGCUCUCUGGACCGAGACUGACGCUGAGGCGCGAAAGCGUGGGGAGCAAACAGG
rnacentral:rRNA from 1 species